GAAAUGCGAUAAGUAAUGUGAAUUGCAGAAUUCAGUGAAUCAUCGAAUCUUUGAACGCACAUUGCGCCCGCCAGUAUUCUGGCGGGCAUGCCUGUUCGAGCGUCAUUUCAACCAUCAAGCCCCCGGCUUGUGUUGGGGACCUGCGGCUGCCCGCAGGCCCUGAAAAACAGUGGCGGGCUCGUUGUCACACCGAGCGUAGUAGCAUACAUUCUCGCUCAGGGCGUGCUGCGGGUUCCGGCCGUUAAACGACCUUCAUAACCCAAGGUUGACCUCGGAUCAGGUAGGAAGACCCGCUGAACUUAAGC
rnacentral:misc_RNA from 1 species